CAAAAGUUUUCUUUACUUCCCAGAGUCCUAAUUCAGUUCCUCCUUAUAUGGGUUUCAGGAGGCUACAGAGAAAGCCACGAGURACCCAGGGAGCCAGACGACUGCACAGAAGCAUUCCAUUUCCAUCGAUCUUAAUCGUCUCCAUGGUCCUGAAAUAUCUGAGGCAGAAGCCACUUACAAGGACGUCAGUGCUCCAGAGGAGGCUGUUCUGGAAGGUCCAGUUGCCAGUGGACAAAACAUUUCAGGACAAAUGACUGGAGAAAGCUGGAACCCUGAGCUCAAACUACUGAGGACUCUUCAGCCCACUGAUGACGAGAAUGAGAAGAACCAGCCCUCUGGGGCACAGAGUGGGAAGUCUCUGCAGACAUAAGUUGAAGGCAUCACUUAGGCCAGCCUUAUCGGAUACCUCAGAUACCAGGUGUCUGAGGACAGUGACCUUUGACAUAGGGUAGAAAAAUGAGGGGAAUUCUGUUCCAGAGGCUUCACCAGGGCCUGAGUUUAGAGAUUUUUCAUUUACUUCUAUUGGCCUCUAAAAUAUGUGAGGGAGAAGAAGCCCUUUUAAACGUAGGUGACUUCUCCACUGGGGAGAAUAAUUUUAAUGAUUAAACACAACUGCUUCUCAAUCAGAAGACUCAUUCUCUGUUUCUUAGUGUCUGUUUUUUGGGUUACUCUUAUAUUUUCUUUGAAACUCUGAAAGGUUUCCAGUUGAGGAAGCUGAAUUUGGCCUAUGCACACCCCCAUGAUAGUUCUAGAUUUCCCCCAAAUUCUCUGGAAAUUGUUUAUUUUGUAGAUUGGGUCCAUAGCGUUAUUAAAUAACACUCACUGGGUCCUUGUGUAUGUGGUACUAGGUAUUCCUUGGAAGAGCUUAUCACUUCAGUUUCUAAGGAAUUGAGUCUACAGGGAAGUUUCAAGAAUACUCAAAGAUUUAGAUAGAAUCCCAGAGCCUCAGGAGUCCUAUAGUUCAGUUUUUAGAAGGAUUUUCUUUUCAUGUUUCAGUCCUUAAAAAACUUUUAUAUUUAGUAGAAUUUUACAGCUGCAUAAAGGUAAAGAGAAUAAUAUCAUGGAACUCUCAUGUUCAUGGUACCUGAAACAUGGUCAGGAAAGGCUCUUGAGCUGUCCCAUGCUAUAGAAAACCCUGCACUGACCCUU
rnacentral:lncRNA from 1 species